UACCCGCAGCUCUAGUGGUGGUCACUUUUAUUGAGCCUAAAGCGUUCGUAGCCGGUUCUGUAAAUCUUCAGAUAAAUUCAUUCGCUCAACGGAUGAUCUUCUGAAGAGACUGUAGAACUUGGGACCGGGUGAGGUUGAAUGUACUUCCGGGGUAGGGGUAAAAUCCUGUAAUCCUGGUAGGACAACCGGUGGCGAAGGCGUUCAACUAGAACGGAUCCGACGGUGAGGAACGAGGGCUAGGGGAGCAAACCGGAUUAGAUACCCGGGUAGUCCUAGCUGUAAACACUGCCCACUUGGUGUUGCCUCUCUGUUGAAGGGGGGCAGUGCCGGAGCGAAGGUGUUAAGUGGGCCGCUUGGGGAGUAUGGUCGCAAGGCUGAAACUUAAAGGAAUUGGCGGGGGAGCACCGCAACGGGAGGAGCGUGCGGUUUAAUUGGAUUCAACGCCGGAAAACUCACCGGGAGCGACCUUUGGAUGAGAGUCAACUUGAUGAGUUUACUCGAUAGAAGGAGAGGUGGUGCAUGGCCGUCGUCAGCUCGUACCGUAGGGCGUUCACUUAAGUGUGAUAACGAGCGAGACCCCCAUCUCUAAUUGCCAGUAUGUCUUUGCGGACAUGCGCACUUUAGAGGGACCGCCAGCGCUAAGCUGGAGGAAGGAGGGGUCGACGGCAGGUCAGUACGCCCCGAAUCUCCCGGGCUACACGCGCGCUACAAAGGACAGGACAAUGAGUUGCAACCUCGAAAGGGGGAGCUAACCUCGAAACCUGUUCAUAGUUAGGAUUGAGGGCUGUAACUCGCCCUCAUGAAUGUGGAUUCCGUAGUAAUCGCGGGUCAACAGCCCGCGGUGAAUAUGCCCCUGCUCCU
rnacentral:rRNA from 1 species